CAGAGCUGCCUGGCUGUGUGGCCACAGGAGGUGGUGUCUGAGCUGGACUCAGCCUCUCCCUCUGGCCCUGCCCGUGAGGGAAGAGAAGUCGGGCCCCUCCAAGUCAGGAAGCACAUCAGUGGCUGAGCUGUCCCUUCCUGCCUGAGGCCUCAGUCUCCCCAUGUGUCAUCAGAGAGGGUUAGAUUACAAGCUCUCAGCUCCUCUGCCCCCAGGUCUGGCACCCAGAGCCUGGCCCAGGUCCAAAUCCAUUCUCUGGAAGAGACUGCCCACUGGCAGCAGUGCAACACUGGAAGAGGUGGGAUGGGGGCUAGUUCUGGGCUAAGGGGGCUGUUUCUGAUGGACUUUGGCUGUCUGCCUUCCAGGGGAAUGUGCUCAGCUGUCAGAAUGAGCUACAGCCUGUCCUGUCAGCUGGAGCCCCGAUACCAGUGGACCAGAAAGAUUCGACUCUUCUUCAAAGACAAGAAGAGCCACUCAUCUUCACGCCCAGGGCUGAGUGAGUGUCUAGACUGGCAAUGGCUGAACCCAGGGGCUCAGUACAGAUUCAGGCCAAGUCUGGGACAGGGGAGUUGGAUAGCUGUGGUGCUGGGGCCCCAGAUCCACCACUGAGCAGUCCUGUCACGGGCAAUUCCCC
rnacentral:lncRNA from 1 species